UGUGUGCUAGCCAGGAGAUCAGUAUGGUGGGUCUUGUGGGGUGUGAGAACUGGCAAGGGGAACCCCAUCUCAGAUGACAGCACACAGAAACUGGCUUGGAGACCUCCUUCAGGCACAUACCUGCUGCACAAAGAUCACCAGACAGUAGGAGUGGAGACAGGAAAAGACAUUUGCAUCUCAGGGUUGGAGACAGAAGAGGGGGUUGUUUGUUGAUAUUUCCUGCUCUAGCUCUCCUGUUCUUGAACCAAAUUGGAAGAACUCAAGGACUAUGAUGUUGGAUUCACCCAGGGAUCCAUGGAAUCAAAGGUGUUAAUGGGGUUGUCAUGAUGGGCAUCCAUGGACAAGAAUCAGAAUCAGAAUCAAGAUUUUAAAGGUAUCUCCAAGAAAAGUGAAGGUAGCUACAUUAAUUACUUCAGCUGACUUUUGGACAACAUGGGUUUCAAUGGUGUGGGUCCAUUUAUACACGGAUUUACUUCUGCCACUGCCGCCCCUGAGACAGCAAGACCAACCCCUCCUCUUCCUCAGCCUACUCAACAUGAAGAUGACGAGGAUGAAGACCUUCAUAAUGAUCCACUUCCACUUAACAAAUAGUAUCUAUAUUUUCUAUUCUUUAUGAUUUUCUUAAUAACAUUCUCUAUUCUCAA
ensembl:lncRNA novel transcript, antisense to STAMBP